UUUGCCUACGGGACGCAGCAGUGAGGAAUAUUGGUCAAUGGGAGAGAUCCUGAACCAGCCAAGCCGCGUGAGGGAAGACGGCCCUAUGGGUUGUAAACCUCUUUUGUCGGAGAACAAAACCCGGGACGUGUCCCGGACUGCGCGUAUCCGAAGAAAAAGCAUCGGCUAACUCCGUGCCAGCAGCCGCGGUAAUACGGAGGAAGCGAGCGUUAUCCGGAUUUAUUGGGUUUAAAGGGUGCGUAGGCGGACAGUCAAGUCAGCGGUAAAAAUGCGGUGCUCAACGCCGUACAGCCGUUGAAACUGGC
rnacentral:rRNA from 1 species